CCCUUAGAUGUCCUGGGCCGCACGCGCGCUACACUGACAUGUUCAACAAGCCUCCUAGUUCGACAGGAUUUGGGAAAUCUUUGAACGCAUGUCGUGAUAGGGAUAGAUCAUUGCAAUUAUUGAUCUUGAACGAGGAAUUCCUAGUAAACGCGAGUCAUCAGCUCGCAUUGAUUACGUCCCUGCCCUUUGUACACACCGCCCGUCGCACCUACCGAUUGGAUGGUCCGGUGAAGCCUCGGGAUUGUGGUUCUUGCCGCUUUAUUGUGGCGUGGCCGCGAGAACUUGUCUAAACCUUAUCAUCUAGAGGAAGGUGAAGUCGUAACA
rnacentral:rRNA from 1 species